AGGUGAAAUAUUGGAACAUUGGUGUCCAUGUAACUCUGUCUCCUGCCUACUUCUACAAUCAAGUGCUAUAUGCUGCCAGCAGGAGACUUGUUUUGGAAAAUGGCAUCGGUGCAACUCGGAGUGAACGCAUCGAGGGAAUUCAUUUGACAUGACAGGAGGACAUCGUUGGACCGAAGAUGCAGAUUUCAUGCAGUGGGGUUGACUCAUUCCUGACACUUGAGUGAACACGGUGAUGACUGCAUGAUUUUCGAUGAGUCUGUUUAAACCUUGAACUUGGUCAGUCAGUCAAAUUGUCAGAGCAUGUCCGGAGCAACUGAGGAUUCCACUAAAAGUCUGAAAGCAUCUCAGGAAACAAAAUCAAGUCCGGUCGCCUAAACUUACACAUUUACAACUUCUGCACAUUCCACUCUUACAUGUGUGAAGAUGUCCUGUUGGUGUGGUAGAGCGUGAAGAAUCAAGCCUGACGUGGCUGGCCUCUAAUUGCCUGAAGAUGGAGGCAGUAAAACAAACAGUGCCUGACUUCUGUUCUCCAGCCAACUCUAUCCAACGUGGAGGACUAACAUGUGUGGAAGUAAGAGCUGAGGAUUUAUACCGGAGGAUGCCUCCUCACUGCAGAACCUUAAUACUUUCCUUUGCAUUCUAUAUGUACAUGCAAGGGAAGAAACUGGUUAUGAGUUAUGUGUCAUAUGUUGUUGUUUGUGUUAUCAGAGAGAGCUACAGUAUAUUAACUCUGUCUUGUGUCAAUUUCCUGUGAAUGAACAUUGACCCAGCGCUGCAUUAUUUGCUCUUGAAGAAACUUGUGCUUCAAAUGUCACUGUGUCAGAUGUGGAGAGAAUUCAAUGAGCAGUAAAAACUAGUCGGCACAAGUUGCAUCGCCUGCCAAAUCCCUAAUGACAACCAUUUUUGUUUUAACAUUUUCACCUGAAGGAGGGGAGAACAAGUCAGCGAUAUUUUCAUGUUUUCCUCAAAUGCUCUCAAAUCUCGGCCCUCUUCUCAGGCCUGUAGGGAAACCACUUAAAUAAAUUGUCUUAAAUUGUC